CUCGCCAAAAAAAAAAACACCCCCCCCCUUAAAAAAAAAAAACUUUCCCCCCCCAAAAAAAAAAACCGGCCCCUUUUUAAAAAAAGGAAAAUUUCCCCCCCCCAAAAAAAAACCGGGGAAAAACUCCACCUCCCCCCCCGGAGUCUUUACGGGGCCCGGGGGGGGGGGGUUUUUUUUGGGGGGAAAAAAAAACCACCGGGGUUGCCUCCGGAAAGGGGAAUGAAGGGGCCAAAGGUUAAAUUUGAAAUCCUUCGGGAAUUGUAUUUUUAAGGGGGGUUUGGUUUGGAAAAGUUACUUUAAGUCCAUUGGAAAAUGGCGCCAUGGAGGGUGAUAGCCCGGAAAAAGUAUCCCUUUUCCUUUUAUCCUUCCCUCCAAAGAGUCGAGUUGUUUGGGAAUGCAGCUCUAAGUGGGUGGUAAAUUCCAUCUAAAGCUAAAUAUUGGCGAGAGACCGAUAGCGAACAAGUACAGUGAUGGAAAGAUGAAAAGCACUUUGAAAAGAGAGUGAAAAAGUACGUGAAAUUGUUGAAAGGGAAGGGGUAGCAAGCAGACACAACCUCGGUUGGGCCAGCAUCGGAGUGGGGGGAGACAAAAAAGAAAAGGAAUGUAACUCUUUCAAGUUUAAAACCCUUUUUCUAAUAUUUCCACCCCUUUCCAAGCCCGGCAAUUCUUCAGGGAUCCUGGCUUAAGGGUGGCAGUUCCCCCUUCUGGAAAAAGGAACCCCCCCCGGGUCGGUUCCUUUUUUCGGGGGGGGGAACCCCCCCCCCCCAAAAAAAAAAAAAACCGGGGUUUUUUUUUUCGGGGGGGGGAUUUUUUUUUUUUUUUAUAAAAAAAGAAAAGGGGGUUUUUUUUUAGGGGGGGGGAAUUUUUUUUUUUUUUUAAAAAAAAGGGAAUUGUUUUUUUUUUGAGCAGAGGAAGAUUUUUUUUUUAUAAAAAUAGAAAACACAAGUUUCUUAUAGGCGAGGGAGAGUUUUUUUUUUGUGUGGAA
rnacentral:rRNA from 1 species